UNACAUGCAGUCGUACGAGAGUUUUUAACUCAAGUGGCGGACGGGUGAGUAAAGGGNNNGAAUUUGCCUUUAGGAGGGGGACAACAACUGGAAANNGGCUGCUAAUACCCCAUAUGCUUUCGAGUGAAAUGGAUUUUUCCGCCUAAAGAGAAGCUUGCGGCUGAUUAGCUUGUUGGUGAGGUAAUGGCUCACCAAGGCGACGAUCAGUAUCUGGUUUGAGAGGACGAUCAGACACACUGGAACUGAGACACGGUCCAGACUCCUACGGGAGGCAGCAGUGGGGAAUUUUCCGCAAUGGGCGAAAGCCUGACGGAGCAAUACCGCGUGAGGGAUGACGGCCUAUGGGUUGUAAACCUCUUUUUUCAGGGAGGAAUCAAAUGACGUGUACCUGAAGAAUAAGCAUCGGCUAACUCCGUGCCAGCAGCCGCGGUAAGACGGAGGAUGCAAGUGUUAUCCGGAAUCACUGGGCGUAAAGCGUCUGUAGGUGGUCCAAUAAGUCAACUGUUAAAUCUUGGGGCUCAACCUCAAAAUCGCAGUCGAAACUAUUAGACUAGAGUAUAGUAGGGGUAAAGGGAAUUUCCAGUGGAGCGGUGAAAUGCGUAGAGAUUGGAAAGAACACCGAUGGCGAAGGCACUUUACUGGGCUAUUAC
rnacentral:rRNA from 1 species